GCCUUAAGGUGAUGUUCAUGUCGAAUUGCAAAUUCGGAGGAGUAGGAGAUCACCCCUACUAAGGCUU
rnacentral:tRNA from 1 species